rnacentral:lncRNA from 1 species
UUCUAAUGGAGCAGAGUCUUGAGUAGUAUGCACAUCACUAUUUGUUUGUGUUUCCAUAGGAGACUGCACAAUCUGUUGCUGUAACAGAUUUGGUUCUGAAUCCAAAUCUGAUACAGUUGAACUUGCUCCAUCUCCCCAAGACAUAGGAAUAUGCAAUGCCUCACUUGUUUCCCAAUUCCACAUUGCUUCUUCAUCAAAAAUAACACUCCUAGACAGUUCAAUCUUUUGAGUUCUCAAGUUGAGCACUCUAUACCCC